GUGCUCACUUCAGCAACACAUAUACUAAAAUUGGAACGAUACAGAGAUUAGCAUGGCCCCUGCACAAGGAUGACAUGCAAAUUCGGGAAGCGUUCCAUAUUUUU
ensembl:snRNA U6 U6 spliceosomal RNA